UCACAAAAAUAAUAAAAACACGCGAUAGUCGGCAAGUCCGCGAGAGACGGAACAACCGAGAACAGGAGAAUAUACGUAUAUAGAGAACAAUAAUUAAUAUUAACGUACAGGUAUAAUGUAAAACUUAUCGACUAUUUUAAGCGCGUCGGGUUACGCGACAUUAUUACGCGUAGCGCAACGAACGGUGCGGAUUAUUUUCGGAACAGCCGGCUCCGAGAAAACGGG